UGCAAAGGUGCGGUAAGAGCGCACCAGCAGCAUCGAGAGGUGCUGGCUCGGUAAACCCCGGUGGGGAGCAAGGUCGUAGGAACUAAGGUUGGUCUUUUUCCAGUUCCGCUCAAAAGAACCGCUAGAGACGUCUGGUAACAGGCGUCCCAGAUAGAUAACUGCCCUCUUAGCUGGUAACAGCUAGGAGAACAGAACCCGGCUUAUGACUGACUCUCUCC
rnacentral:RNase_P_RNA from 1 species